ACCCCCUGGCAAUUGACAAAUAGACACCUUGGUGACAGUGGUGUUCUUAUAUCAGUCAGGGGCAGAGCAGAUGGCGGUCCUUUGUUCAUCCUAGCAUGAUGCCUGGCUUGGUACCCCAAGCUGUUUUAUGUCUAGGACUCAUAA